CGGGGUAAACCUUCCGGACCAAGGGCACUCUGUAUGGGUGUUUCCUUUUUGCGAAAGCGUAACCUCCUGACGCUGGGUGCUUCCCUUAAGUGCACCGGGCGCUUCGGCGGGCAUUAAACUUAGCCCCUGGCAAUGUCCCGCAGUGACAACGAACUACGCUGAGCGCACCGCAAAGCAGUUACCCCACUGCCGCGUCGCCCUCCUCUCAGAGCCGGUUCGCCUCCCUUUCCCCAGAAAGACAUGCGCCAUUGCCUGCUCGCCGCGCCCCGUUUAGGAGGCUCUCCGUAGACUAAUCAUGACCCGGGGAUGCUAAUCAAGCCAUGUCAAACCUCAGCGGCUGCACAGUUCGUUCGCGCUAACUUGACUCGACCGAGGUCCGCAUCGUCCUCCUCGGGGUAGUUUUUUAUAGCGUCUUCUUCAUCGCCUUCGUCAUAUUCUUCAAAUUCGUUCUCUUCCAGGCCUUCUCUUGCUCUGCCGCGCCACUCGUCACGCUCUGCCAGACGGAUGUGCCAGUAACGCUGGGUCGUCUGCUUUCCUUCGUUAUGAAAAAGGGGUCCUAAAUUUGACGUGAGGAACUCCUACUUACGUCGAAAUCCCAACAGACGACGUUGCGCAAAUUGAAUGCGCUUGCUUGCACGGUUCUUGCGUUGUCUGAAGUUAGCGCUCAGCUAUUGUUUGUGACGAACACCGUAUUCGUCCCUGUCCUCGGCCAGCUCUGGGCUGCGACUUCCUGCGCCGUACUUGCCGCACCGCGAGCAUUAAUCAAGCAGGGGUCAAGCGGCUGCACCGGGGCCGAGCCCCUUUCCAGCUUUAGAAAGCCGGCCCCCUAGUCUCUAUUAUCAAAUAACACCGUGCCAAGGCCCCCAACGCAGCGCCUCGGUUUUCGACGUACCUUCCGGAUUACUAAGUCCGAGCAUGC
rnacentral:lncRNA from 1 species